rnacentral:rRNA from 1 species
UGGGGAAUUUUGGACAAUGGGCGAAAGCCUGACGCAGCCAUGCCGCGUGAAUGAUGAAGGUCUUAGGAUUGUAAAAUUCUUUCACCGGGGACGAUAAUGACGGUACCCGGAGAAGAAGCCCCGGCUAACUUCGUGCCAGCAGCCGCGGUAAUACGAAGGGGGCUAGCGUUGCUCGGAAUUACUGGGCGUAAAGGGCGCGUAGGCGGAUAGUUUAGUCAGAGGUGAAAGCCCAGGGCUCAACCUUGGAAUUGCCUUUGAUACUGGCUAUCUUGAGUAUGGAAGAGGUAUGUGGAACUCCGAGUGUAGAGGUGAAAUUCGUAGAUAUUCGGAAGAACACCAGUAGCGAAGGCGACAUACUGGUCCAUUACUGACGCUGAGGCGCGAAAGCGUGGGGAGCAAACA